GUGCCAGCCGCCGCGGUAAUACGAAGGGGGCUAGCGUUGUUCGGAAUUACUGGGCGUAAAGGGCGCGUAGGCGGCUCUGUGCGUCGUGCGUGAAAGGCCUGGGCUCAACCCAGGAAUGGCGCACGAUACGACGGAGCUAGAGUGCAGGAGAGGAUGGUGGAAUUCCCAGUGUAGAGGUGAAAUUCGUAGAUAUUGGGAAGAACACCGGUGGCGAAGGCGGCCAUCUGGACUGCAACUGACGCUGAGGCGCGAAAGCGUGGGGAGCAAACAGGAUUAGAAACCCCUGUAGUCC
rnacentral:rRNA from 1 species